rnacentral:misc_RNA from 1 species
AUCCUUGUCCGCUUAACCGUUUCAGUCAGCCUAUCCUUGAUGAAACCGCGAGCAAAGAUAGGUGAUUACGUCAUGGUUUUACAGAAAAUUACAGAAAAAGGAGGCAAUAUCGGGUAAAGGCAUUAGCCCGACGAAUACGUCGGGCUACAAAUAUUAUU